GAUGAUGUAUAGGGAAUGUGUGCGGUGAAUAAUUUUAACCAUUUUGACGUAAUUCGUCACUCUUUCGGUUCGUUUCGGAGUACUUCGGGACUUGGAUCAUGAAGAUCUAUAGUCAUGCUGGCAACGCUGGAUACCAUUUAUGACGCGUUGUGUAUAUAGUAUAGUCUCUUCUUUAGAAUUUUUGAUUAUUUCAAAUAAUUGUAAUUAAAUAAACAACAUGUUUGGUCAGUGCUCAAUUUGUAGUGUAAAAUUUGAAUCUUUUGAAGGAUUAUGUUCGCCUUUUUGUGGACAUAUCUUUCAUUAUGCGUGUCUUUCACAGUGGCUUGAAAGACAUUGUUUAUGUCUUAUUAUGUCUAACCUCAAAAAUGAUCAAAAACAUGUCCAUAGUGUCAAAGAGAAACAUAUUGCCGCCAAGUAGUUCGGCUUUCUUUUCACGAUAGCAAAUAUACAGAUUUAGAUAUGUUUUAAAACCAGAUGGACGACUCUGAUGAAAAUAAAAUUAGAACUUACCAAAAAAAACAUUCUCCCACGAAAGGAUGGAGACUAAAUCUUGAUUCUACUUCAAUUAAAAAUAACGUCGCCCUCUGCGCAAACCACCGGCAAGUAAAUGGAUGAAUACUGAAUCACUUCAACAAUAUCAUGGGCAAUAGCUGAUGAUCAGAAAUCAACAUGCUCAUUAUUACAAUCAUCAGUUAAAGAAAAAUUAUGACUAUCAGAAUCAACGGAAUCAAUAGCUAAUAAAAAAUCCAAUGAUUAUGAAAUAUUUGGACAUAAAUUAACUAAUUAUAAAAAUUCAUCAACACGAUCAUUAACUGAUUUAAUUGUUGUCAAUGAAUCUCCAAAAUUGUUAGAUAAAUCACGUUUCUUACAUGCAUCAAAUCACAAACUGGAAAGUGAUCCCUUUGGUGAUUAUGCUGAGACUGAUCUUGAUGAGCCAACUAAUUAUGGUUUCCGCUAUGCUGAACACAAUUUGGAUCAGGAUAAAAUACCAAGACUGGAAUAUUUAUUCAGAUUUCACAUUUAAUAUCCAAAGCAUCUUUAAUGCCAUCACCUAAAACUGUGUUUAGUACUAAAGUGUCAUUGGAGUCGAAAGAGUCAUAUAUGACUGGAUAAUGACUCCAUCAAAAUCAUUGUUAAAACAUUACCAUAAUAUUUAUUAAUUUAAUUAUACUUCAUACAAUAAAGUAUGAUUCUUUGUUACUAAUUUAUCAUUAAAUAACGUAUCUUAUUUAAUUUUUUUUAAGAAAAUAAAAUUGUAAAUCAACAUUGAUAUUUUAUUGAAUUUUUUU